rnacentral:lncRNA from 1 species
CAGGUCCUGUGACAACAGGUACGGGCCAGCAUUGGGACAGGCUUUGCCUGUAAGAGGGCUGGUCUGGGGGGACAUCUGAACCCAAUUCAGGAACACCUCACAGGUCUGCCAGCAGGGCUAGACCCGGGGUGAGAUCCAGGGCAACAGGGUCUGCCUGGGAAGCUCAGCUCCGGCACUGCCUGGGGCGUCUCUGCCUACACAGGACCAUUCCUCUCGCCUGGACUCCUCUUGGAGUUUGCCAAGGGCUGGCCUCUGCAGAAAUAGGAGACUCCUGGAGGAAGACAGUGGACUUCAGCAAGCUGCACCAAGGAGAAUCCACAGCGGCAGCUGCCCUGCCAGGCGCGGGAUCUCGGUCAAGGUGGAUCAACACAGCCUCAGGUGUGUGCUCUGCCCCACUGAGAUGGCAAGUGCAUUCUUUUCUAUUCCUACGAGGAAAGAGCAUCCGAAAGAGCCUGCCUUCACAUAGGAUGAAUAACAGUGGACCUUGGCUUUGCCUCAGUGUUAUGUGCUAAUAAACCAUGUAUUCUAUGCCCUAAGGAAGCCCAGAGAGAACUGGACAAGCUGGAUAUCCCAAAGAGCAUGGCACUGGCCCACCACAUUGAUUACAUUGCGCUGGCCGGGUGCUAACCAAGAAGCAGCUAACACACUGGGAGUCUUGGUAAGAUGCCUGAGUGCCUGCAGCUGGCAGACAAAUCCUACAAAGAUUCUGGGAACUGCCACUAAUAACACUCUUGGUGGGGAGGUCCCAUAUCCCAUAACCAGGAGCAUACUGGGCCUCCUGUCCACAGCAAAGAGCCAAUUACUGCAUCUUGCAUCUCCCAUGACCAAGAGAGACAGACAAUGCCAGUACGCCUUCUGGAGGCAGCACGUUCCACACACAUGAAGACUACUCCAGCCUAUGUACCAUUGAUAGGAGAAGCUGUCGGCCUUCCCUGAGCCUGCAGCAGGUCGAGGCUGCAGUGCUGGCAGCCCUGUGACUCAGGCCCUGCAGCUGGUCGGACCCUGUGUUAUGAGAGGUAUCAGACGUGGGAAAGCAAUGCUGUGUGUUUAUGGCAAACCACUAUGCCAGAAUCACAGUGCAGGCCCCUGGGAUUCAGAAACAAAGCCGUGCCAUCUGCGGCAGAGGAUUCUGCGAAAAAUUCUGAAAAGUCCCUGUUGAUGUGCUCCUGGGGCCUGGGGUGAUGGAAUACCUGAUUGUGCAUGUGGAACUGCUCAGAUGAGCUGGAUUCUGUCUCACCCCUGGGUCAUGAGGUUGGGGACUCAGAAAUAACCCAUCACAGGUGGGAGUGUGCGUGUGGCAGCAGCAGAAGCAGGAGCAGGAGGCCAAGCAGCGGCAGCUGCCCAGUACCCCCCCCCACCCUCCACAGCAGUCCCCACAGCCCCAGUGGAGGAACCUUCUGGUGAACUGAGGAGGGAGGGACAAGCCCGGCCUCAGUUCAUGGAGGUGUCUGCUCUGCCUGUGGGGCCAGCCCAAAUCGCCUGGCUGCCAUACUCCAGUCUCAGCAAGCUGCCCUUUAAAGAGGGUGAUAUGGUUUGGCUCUGUGUCCCCACCCAAAUCUCAUCUUGAACUGUAAUCCCCAGGUGAUGAGGGUGAGACCUGAUGGGAAGUGAUUGGAUCAUGGGGGCUGUUUUCCCCAUGCUGUUCUCGUGAUAGUGAAGGAGUUCUCAUGAGAUCUGAUGGUUUUAUAAG